AUUACACAUAUACAUAUAUAUGAACAAUUUAAAGUUUACUCAAGAAUGUGUAUUUUUUCUACAUUAUAAAAUGUGGUAUUGGGUUCUAGGAAAUUAUUUCAAACUACACGAUCAUUUGAAGAAGAUAGCUCUUAGGAAAAAAGAGAUGAUCUCCUCUAACUUCUUAGAACCACUGCACUGCCAAAUGGGGAUUUAUUUCUAUUGCCUCAUCCAAGUCAGUUCCAAAGCUUAACUCUUCCAUGAAGUUUUCCAUGAUCAAUCCUGCCUAAGAGAACAGGAACAAACCAGAGAAAAUUAUAUGUGUGAGAAUGGAAUAAGGGCUAUCAGAAGAUAGAAAUUUUGACAUAUUUCUGGAAGAUGGAAGCAUAAAGCAGACUGGAAGAAGCUCUAAUCCAGAAAACAUACAGAAGCCUUCAACGGAUGUGUGGGCUGCUCUUCCUGAGAGAACCAUAAGAAGAUUCCAAGCUUGGCAACGGCAGGUAUGGGGACCAGCAAUAGGAAAUAAGGUGAUAAAAAUGCUACUUCCCUUGUAAAGAGAAAGGGCAGCUGCCUACAAAACAACAGUGAUCUUCUAAGGUGUGAGCAAAAGAAAAUGUAUUGUGCAAUAAAUCUAUGAAGCAAGGAGUUAUUUCAGGACUACUUGAUGACGCCAAAUGUGGUCUUUUGAAGGUUCACAGGUGCUGUGAUGUCUUUCACAGGCAAUGGAUAAAGCAUCCUGCAUUGUCCUAGGCACACUCUGUAGGGAAGAUAUGGGAAUCUGAAGUCAACUUUGCCAAAAUUGUGAGGAUUGCUAAUGUGAGAUGAGAAUCUACUCACAAACAUUAAGAAGGUAACAUGAUGAGUGAAGUAAAGGGGCUGCUACUAAGAGAAAGCAUGCUCUCAGAUAACCGUUUUCAGAUAACGUCGAGAAAGUGAGAGUAUACACAGAUCAACAUGAUGGUCCACUUAACGGGGGAAGAGAGUAAAAUGUUGGUGUCACUGACAAGGAUGGCAACAUUUAAAUGUUCAGAUCCUUACAGGAGAAGCAUUGCAGUCACUUGACAAUCUCAAGCUAUGUGUUUCUUCAGUGCUUCUUGAAAACAUUUAUAA
rnacentral:lncRNA from 1 species